GUAGACAGCUGGCAAGUUUUUCCGGAAAAGUGGCUGAUUUUCCUUGCACUAUGGUUGUGCUGACUCCUGUAAUUUCCCCAAAUGGCGGAAACUUGACUGUACAAUUUGGGGCAGUGGGGGGACUACAUUCAUGCUUUUCUCUG
ensembl:snRNA U1 U1 spliceosomal RNA